UGGCUGCUCUUAUUACUUUCCCUUAUUUGGACUGUCGCAGUGCUUGAAUACUGUAGACAUGCAAUACACAGCUUCUGGGGUAAAGGAUAAACUCAUAUAUGUGCUGCUGCUGACUGGAGCCAAUGUUUCCUCACCUGGUGACACUCUGGCCACUUAGCAGUGUCUUCCACCUCUCAGUGUUUCCUGAAGCCCUUGGAAAGUCCAUCCCCAUCUGUUGCGCCACCCUUCACCGGCUUGGGUCCCAGAGGCCAGGUGCCAAUCAAGAAGCUGUACACACAAAGACCCAGGCCAAGAGGAACAUGAGUCAUCAGAAACCCAGCAAGCAAGAGGCCUAAGAGGGACAGCCAGCCUGCUGGAUGGCACCUGGGCACCCCCAAAUCCUCAGCACUCAGGGGUUCUCUGACUCAGCAGCCUUGCAUCCAGGAUGUCUCCAAGGACUAGCUGCUAACAUGAUUCAUAAAUGAUAACGACACCCACCCCACACAUCAAUAGAGCAAUUUAGAGGUGACAGAGCACUUUUGCACCCAUUCAGCAAAUCAGUCUGCAUUGUGGCAGAGUUGGUGAAAGCUUUGAAGUCAUGAAGCCUGAGUUUGAAUCCUGCUUCCUAGCUGUGGCACAUAUGGGGAGAUCACUUAUACCGUCAGAACCUCAACAUUCACAUCUUUGAAAACAAGGAUAAGAAUAAUAAUGCCUAGCUCGUAGGGUUAUUGAGGGAGGAAAUAAGCCAAUCUGUGUGUUGUACCCUGUGUUGUACUCAGAAUGGUGGCUGCUAUGCAGACACAUGCCAUUUAUCAAGUUGGUACUACAAGGUGACAUUGUGCUAAGUUCUUUAAUUCACAGGGUCUUUUCAACAAUUCCAUAAAGUAGGAGUUCCCAUUAUGGCUCAGUGGGUUAAGAACCUGACUAGUAUCCAUGAGGAUGCAGGUUCGAUCCCUGGCUUCACUCAGUGGGUUAAGGAUCCGGCAUUGCCAUAAGCCGUGGUGUAGGUGGCAGAUGUGACUCACAUCUGGAGUUUCUGUGGCUGUUCCUUUGUUGUCUCACCCAAAUGGCAUGGAGGGGAGAGUGUUCUUCAGAGACAAUGGAGCCAAAUUGGAAGCUGGGCUCUGAACAGACGGACCGUGUCCCAUGUGUCCCUGAAAUACGAGUGUCCAGGCCAG
ensembl:lncRNA